rnacentral:piRNA from 1 species
UUCAAAUGUGAGUGGCAAGAGCAGC